rnacentral:rRNA from 1 species
UACGAAGGGGGCGAGCGUUGUUCGGAUUUACUGGGCGUAAAGGGCGCGCAGGCGGCUCAUUUUGUCAGGCGUGAAAGCCCCGGGCUUAACCUGGGAGGUGCGUUUGAUACGGAUGGGCUAGAGUUCGGGAGAGGAGAGUGGAAUUCCCAGUGUAGAGGUGAAAUUCGUAGAUAUUGGGAAGAACACCGGUGGCGAAGGCGGCUCUCUGGACCGAGACUGACGCUGAGGCGCGAAAGCGUGGGGAGCAAACGGG